rfam:Heterocephalus glaber contig181039, whole genome shotgun sequence.
GGAUGUAGCUGAGUGGUGCAGCACCUGCCUGGCAAGCAUGAGGCCCUGAGUUCGAUUCCCAUUACCA